GGUAGUGUUGGCUGGCUGCAUUUGUAGUUGCAAAGAUGGAAACUUGCAAAGGAAGCAAUUUGUAGGCAAACUUAGAACUCCACCGACGCAACUUUCAGCAUCACGGUUGCUCAUCUUCCAUCCGAACCAGCAAGCUCUGACGAAUGUAAGAUCGCCACCUGCCAACAGAGGCAGCGGACAGAAGAAGGACUUCCUGAAACAGUCCCUAGCGAGCCAACGGCAAUGGAGAUGGGCGAUUUGAGGUGACGGACUACAACUGCUGACCAAAGCCAUGGAAACUGAUGACAUAGCUUCGAGUGAACGAUUCUCUGCCGAGGUUCUGGGCAUCAUGCAGCUUGCUAUAGAUCAAGGAAACGCCCGGCACAUCCGAAAUGUAAUACUUGAGAUGAAUUUUGAAUUCAACUCGUAUGGUGCUACAGUUGCGCGGGAACUUGAAGAAUGUGUCGUUGAAUUUGUGCGAGAUACAUUCACUAAGUAGUCCGUAAGUUUAGUCUGUAGAUGCUUGGUAGUGAAUUCCAUUGGCAAUCAAAGUUACAUGCUGCAAAAUUAGCGACCCUCUCCGGAAGGUAUAACUUCUCUUUACUUGUUUUCAUAGGUGGCAAUUUAUUGGUAGAAGUAAGUGAAAUCUGGAUUCAAAGGAAAAACAAGCGAAGGAAAGUGAAACAACAGGAAGUAGGGCCUACACGGGUUGGUUCAGUCCCUUUUUCGGGCAAAGAACUGAGCCAAUCCGGGUGCUAUAUAGGUUGGGAAUUCCCUUAUGUGAAACCAGGCAUUGAAGCGGACAACCAGCCACACUGGAGAGAGAGAGAGAUAUGGUUGCUUUUGAGGUGUGUAGGAAAUGUAGUAUGUACCUAUCAUGAAGAUGUGCAGCCAGUGAUAGGUUUGCUAGGAUGAUUGAAUUUUGAGGAACUUUGAUCGCUGGUACAAGAAUCUGUUGCUAAGUUCUACAAGGCACUUGAAGAGUUAAAACAAUGGAGAAAUGAAGAAGAAGCAGAGAGAUGGCAACAAGACUUGCAGAGAUGGACACUCUUCAUGUUCUUCUUGAACAGUGGCGGAGCACAGGAUUUUAGGCAGCAGAAGUUGCAGAAAUGUUUUUAGCAUGCUCCCUUUACGUGACAUGGGAACCGUGCACAAUGUAUGCAGCAGCAUUGUCAAUCAUUGGUAUGUCUGUUGAUCAUACUAAAAUAGAACUAAACUUUCCUAAAAUUUGUUUGUUCAUAAAUGAUUAGAUGACUCUUAGCCACUUUUAGGUAAAAAGAAGUAUAUUAUGGCCAUGCAAAUGAUAAAAUUGGAGGCUGCGACUCGAUGCUGUUGUUGCAUUCAAGUACCUCCAAGGCAUGCAUUAGGUCAGUUUCUGAACUUGCUUUCGUUGCUGAUUUUGUAUCUGCUGAGCUCCACUUUGAAAUUGUGACAUAUGAUAAUUGACAACUCAAGCUUACUGGAGUUUUAUGAUUCCUUAUGUUGAUUACUGAUGGAUGCGGUUUCGUAGUGAUUCUAUUUGCUGUUGCACCUUGAAUAUUGCCACAUAUAA